CACGUAGGAGGCGAGCGUUGUCCGGAAUCAUUGGGCGUAAAGGGCGCGUAGGUGGCGCGACAAGUCAGUGGUGAAAGUUCGACGCUCAACGUCGAAUCGGCCACUGAUACUGUUGGGCUUGAGCACUGUAGAGGCUAAUGGAAUUCCGGGUGUAGCGGUGGAAUGCGUAGAGAUCCGGAAGAACACCGGUGGCGAAGGCGGUUAGCUGGGCAGUUGCUGUCACUGAGGCGCGACAGCGUGGGGAGCAAACAGG
rnacentral:rRNA from 1 species